CCAGGAGGAAGCCCACCACCAGCAGAGCCACGCAGCCGCCGUCGUUGAGCAGGUCGGAGCAGAAUGGGCUGGUCCCGUGAGGGUGAACCUGGGGAAACGACACAAACAGGAAGUGUCAGAGGUCCUGGUUAAUCCCCUUCUAAGCUGCUGUCACAUGAGGUCUAAUUGUGAGAGAGCACAAGAACAGAGAGAAUCUUGUAGUCUCUGGUCAUUAGGACGGUCUGGACCUGCACAGACGCCAUCGAGGAAACCAAACACCACCAUGACAAUGGCUGGCGUCAGGAUGGUCCCGAACACCAGUCCAGCCAGGAAGGCAUUGAUGGCGGCGAUCACAAGGUUCUGAGCCGUCACAAG